AAGGAUGAAGUUGUAGGGCAGGAAGUCUUAUGACACUCAGAACAGCUACUCAAUGGAAAUCACAAACAGAAUGAGUUUCAUCCACGUGUCAAGACACUACUACCAACAAAGCUAUUUCAGAGCACCUAUCCUGAAUACCUAGCUGUCUCUUCCACUUAAAGCAAGAGCGUCUAAUGGUUAGGACGACUGGAUACACAUGUGAUCACUGAAACUUCUUGAGAAGAAAAUUGCUCAACUGCUG